AUCUUACUAGUUUAAUAAAAACAUCAAAUUGUGAUUUUGAAAAUAAAAAUUUUGUAAGAUU
rnacentral:tRNA from 1 species